rnacentral:rRNA from 1 species
UUGGUCAAUGGGGGCAACCCUGAACCAGCCAAGUCGCGUGAAGGAUGAAGGUCUUAUGGAUUGUAAACUUCUUUUACACGGGAAUAAAGUGGAGGACGUGUCCCCCUUUGCAUGUACCGUGUGAAUAAGGAUCGGCUAACUCCGUGCCAGCAGCCGCGGUAAUACGGAGGAUCCGAGCGUUAUCCGGAUUUAUUGGGUUUAAAGGGUGCGCAGGCGGGAUGUUAAGUCGGCGGUGAAAUUUUGCAGCUCAACUGUAAAAGUGCCUUCGAUACUGGCCUCCUUGAGUGUGGAUGAAGUAGGCGGAAUUUGUGGUGAAGCGGUGAAAUGCUUAGAUAACACGGGGAACUCCGAUUGCGCAGGCAGCUUACUAAGCCACAACUGACGCUCAUGCACGAAGGCGUGGG